rnacentral:rRNA from 1 species
UNGUAAAAUUUUAAAGGUAAAUUCUGCCCUAUGAUUAUUUAAAUGGCUGCAGUAUUCUGACUGUGCAAAGGUAGCAUAAUAAUUAGCCUUUUAAUUGAAGGCUGGCAUGAAUGAAUAUAUGAGAAAUUUAUUUUAUUGAUUUUAUUGUUAAAAUUUGAUUUUUAGGUAAGAAAGCCUAAUUUUUUUUUUGGGACGAUAAGACCCUAUAGAACUUAAAUUUUAAUAAUUUUUAUCUUUAUUUUUAGUUUAUUAAUUUUUUAAUUUUAUUAAUUUUUUUUUUGGGGCGGAUAAUAAAUUUGACUUUAUUUUUUUUUUUCAUUUAUAUAUGUAAUUUUGAUCCAUUUAUGAUUUUAAGAUUAAGUUACCUUAGGGAUAACAGCGUUAUUUUAAUGGGGAGUUCAUAUCUAUAUUAAAGUUUGCGACCUCGAUGUUGAAUUAAGAUUAGAUUGAGGGGUAG